rnacentral:misc_RNA from 1 species
GCAAACUUGGUCAUUUAGAGGAAGUAAAAGUCGUAACAAGGUUUCCGUAGGUGAACCUGCGGAAGGAUCAUUACAAAUCCAUCACGUCUCCACACCGAGACCUUUGUUGAACCCGUUUUCGAGAGCGUGCGCGCACGCGCGCGCGCCUCUCCCUACUUCACUAGUAGACCCCCUCGUUACCGUUGUUGCUCAUGUGUAUACAUGUACAUCAUAACGAACGAACAACUUACAACAAUGGAUCUCUAGGCUCUUGCAUCGAUGAAGAACGCAGC